AGAGUGAACGCUGGCGGCAGGCCUAACACAUGCAAGUCGAGCGGCAGCGCAGCGGUAGCAAUACUGUGGGCGGCGAGCGGCGGACGGGUGAGGAACACAUCGGAAUCUACCCUGUCGUGGGGGACAACGUAGGGAAACUUACGCUAAUACCGCAUACGACCUUUGGGUGAAAGCGGGGGACUCGCAAGAGCCUCGCGCGAUUGGAUGAGCCGAUGUCCGAUUAGCUAGUUGGCGGGGUAAUGGCCCACCAAGGCGACGAUCGGUAGCUGGUCUGAGAGGACGACCAGCCACACUGGAACUGAGACACGGUCCAGACUCCUACGGGAGGCAGCAGUGGGGAAUAUUGGACAAUGGGGGCAACCCUGAUCCAGCCAUGCCGCGUGAGUGAAGAAGGUCUUCGGAUUGUAAAGCUCUUUCGACGGGGACGAUGAUGACGGUACCCGUAGAAGAACGCCCGGCUAACUUCGUGCCAGCAGCCGCGGU
rnacentral:rRNA from 1 species